CCUGCAGGACAAGGGCCUGGAAUGUGAGCGUCCCGAGCGAAGGGAUCUAGUUCCGUCCCUUCCGCCAGGCGACCAUUGCCGUAGACAUCGAGUCCCUCCGCGCUGGAGAUGUCACGAACUCCCACCCGGCUGUUACCAUGGUCAUCACCCCAGCCCUGCCCUUCCUGGGCAACGCCCGGGUGACACACAGCGAUUCAGAACAGACACCGCCCCUCCCCGGUCGCCGUAGCAACGCCCCUCCCCCGCCUAGCAUUCCUUGCUUGACAUUUCCCACCCAUCUUGUCCCCGCCGCCCUCCGCCUUCCCUUCUCAGGCUCCAGGCAAGAUGGCCGCCUGCUAUCAGCGAGAGCUGCCGAGCCCAGAGCGAAUCGAUAGGCAUCCUUCCCAGGGCGUGGGAGUCUCGCAGGCGCAUUGAGGGACAUUCGCUUCAGGCACAAGGACAGAGGAUCCACCCCUCGACUUCUACCCAUUCGUUAAUGGCACUUUUUGUUUAUACAAGGAUAAUGUCCAAGGGACAUAGUGUCGGGAGCCCUGCCCCUCCAUCCUACCACUCUGCUUCCAAAGAAACAUGAUGGAAUGAAAUCACAGGAGAGUCCGGAAAUCAAGUCAGGGAUCCCUGGGAAAUUCAGUUUCACCAUUGGAAUGAAUUAUUUUGUUGUCAUUUUUCAAUAUUCACAUAUUAAAAUUGUAAAAA